rnacentral:rRNA from 1 species
AUUGAACGCUGGCGGCAUGCCUUACACAUGCAAGUCGAACGGCAGCGGGGGAGAAGCUUGCUUUUCCUGCCGGCGAGUGGCGAACGGGUGAGUAAUACAUCGGAACGUGCCCUGUAGUGGGGGAUAACUAGUCGAAAGAUUAGCUAAUACCGCAUACGACCUGAGGGUGAAAGUGGGGGACCGCAAGGCCUCAUGCUAUAGGAGCGGCCGAUGUCUGAUUAGCUAGUUGGUGGGGUAAAGGCCUACCAAGGCGACGAUCGGUAGCGGGUCUGAGAGGACGAUCAGCCACACUGGGACUGAGACACGGCCCAGACUCCUACGGGAGGCAGCAGUGGGGAAUUUUGGACAAUGGGCGAAAGCCUGAUCCAGCAAUGCCGCGUGUGUGAAGAAGGCCUUCGGGUUGUAAAGCACUUUUGUCCGGAAAGAAAUGGCUCUGGUUAAUACCUGGGGUCGAUGACGGUACCGGAAGAAUAAGGACCGGCUAACUACGUGCCAGCAGCUGCCGUAA